AUCUAUGUUGUUGCAGUUGAAAAUCUCGUAGUUGGAUUUGAGGUUUAGGGAUAUGGUCUCAUCUUCGGAUGUUGUACUGUAUUUCUUUAUCUUUUACAUGAGAAGGUAUUCUGUUCUUUAUUGGAUGGUUUAUUGACUCAUGUCUUUUACUUUGAAAAAAUUAGAGUGUUCAAAGCAGGCUUAUGCCUUGAAUACAUUAGCAUGGAAUAAUAAGAUAGGACUUUUGUCUAUUUUGUUGGUUUUUAUGGACUGAAGUAAUGAUUAAUAGGGGCAGUUGGGGACAUUAACAUUUAAUUGUCAGAGGUGAAAUUCUUGGAUUUAUUAAAGAUUAACUACUGCAAAAGCAUUUGUCAAGGAUGUUUUCAUUAAUCAAGAACGAAAGUUGGGGGAUCGAAGACGAUCAGAUACCGUCGUAGUCUCAACCAUAAACUAUGCCGACGAGAAAUUAGUGAAUGUUUAUUCAUUGACUUCAUUAGCUUCUUCCGAGAAAUCAAAGUUUUUGGGUUCUGGGGGGAGUAUGGUCGCAAGGCUGAAACUUAAAGGAAUUGACGGAAGGGCACCACCAGGAGUGGAGCCUGCGGCUUAAUUUGACCCAACACGGGAAAACUUACCAGGUCCAGACAUAAGAAGGAUUGACAGAUUGAGAGCUCUUUCUUGAUUUUAUGGGUGGUGGUGCAUGGCCGUUCUUAGUUGGUGGAGUGAUUUGUCUGCUUAAUUGCGAUAACGAACGAGACCUUAACCUACUAAAUAGCUACGUGAAACCUAGUUUCAUGGCCAGCUUCUUAGAGGGACUAUAUAAGUCAAUUAUAUGGAAGUUUGAAGCAAUAACAGGUCUGUGAUGCCCUUAGAUGUUCUGGGCCGCACGCGCGCUACACUGACGAAUUCAACGAGUUUUAACCUUAACCGAUAGGUUUGGGUAAUCUUUUAAAAGUUCGUCGUGCUGGGGAUUGACAAUUGCAAUUAUUUGUCAUGAACGAGGAAUUCCUAGUAAGCGCGAGUCAUCAGCUCGCGUUGAUUACGUCCCUGCCCUUUGUACACACCGCCCGUCGCUCCUACCGAUUGGAUGAUCCGGUGAAGUCUUCGGAUUUUAGUUUAAUGAUUGGUUUCCAAUUGUUUUACUUGAAGAAGUUGAUUAAACCUUAUCAUCUAGA
rnacentral:rRNA from 1 species